UGGCUCAGAUUGAACGCUGGCGGCAGGCCUAACACAUGCAAGUCGAGGGGUAUAGUUCUUCGGAAUUAGAGACCGGCGCACGGGUGCGUAACGCGUAUACAAUCUACCUUUACAGAGGGAUAGCCCAGAGAAAUUUGGAUUAAUACCUCAUAGUAUUUCGAAUCGCAUGGUUUGAUUAUUAAAGUUCCAACGGUAAAAGAUGAGUAUGCGUCCCAUUAGCUAGAUGGUAAGGUAACGGCUUACCAUGGCAAUGAUGGGUAGGGGUCCUGAGAGGGAGAUCCCCCACACUGGUACUGAGACACGGACCAGACUCCUACGGGAGGCAGCAGUGAGGAAUAUUGGACAAUGGGCGCAAGCCUGAUCCAGCCAUGCCGCGUGCAGGAAGACGGUCCUAUGGAUUGUAAACUGCUUUUAUACAGGAAGAAACACUCCCUCGUGAGGGAACUUGACGGUACUGUAUGAAUAAGCAUCGGCUAACUCCGUG
rnacentral:rRNA from 1 species